rnacentral:lncRNA from 1 species
UAUGAGUGUGACUGAGUGUGUGUGUGUGUGUGUGGAUGUUUCCCAGAGAUGGGUUGCGGCCGGAAGGUCAUCCGUUGCGUAAAAAUUGUGCUGGAUAAGUUGGCAGGUUAAUUCCACGGUGGCGUGUAAUAAUAAAAGGACCAAGCCGAAAAGAAAAUGAAGGAAUAAUAUUUUUCAGAUGCUUGAACUGUUAUUGUCACCCUGAAUGACCUUUUAGGGGAUGUUUGGUGUCUUUUAUUUAAUUAGUUGUUUUGAUGAGUGAAAACCUCCCCUUCAGUGUGUCUUUAUGCCAUUAACUAUGUACUUUUUCAAAGGUCAAAAAGGUACUUUCAAGAACAACAUUGGCUUAUUUUUUUGAGCCCCUCCAAAUCAUGCUAACAAAAAAUGCUGAAAAUACCACAAUAGGUUCUACUUUACUACUGACCAUAUUUAAAUGCCACAGUUUGACUUCUGACAGAUCGGAGCUUUAGUGUGACAUCAGUUAAAGCUGCACUAGGUGAUCUGCCAAAAUGCUAACUGGUUAGCAUAACAUUUCAAAUACAAUCCCUCCCCUGCUGUCCAAAGCCACGCCUCCUGAAAUCACCAACGCGCGCAUUAAAGAUGACGGACCCACUAGAUCAUGUCGCUCGCCAGUUAGAAAACUUGAUAGUACUUUAAAAAUACCACAAUUCUGAACGAAAACAUGCAUUAUAUCUAGCACGUUUUCAGUUAGCAAGCAAAACUUGUCAUGAUGUGCAAUAUUUCAUGCAUGCAAGGAUCGCAUGCAAAUAAAGAGCCAUCGGCCCUUAAUUUUUGUCAUAGAAUUGUGUAUUAGAUUAGAUUGUACGUUAG